ensembl:lncRNA
AUGGACUUUUCAACGUAUGCGGUAAGUUCAGUUUUCAAAAAAACGAAAUCCACUGAGCAAGUAUCUGUCUGCAGAUUGGAUCCAGGACGCACAGAGCACAUAGUUUGCUUCUUGAGUGGUUGCAGAGCCGUGGGCAUUGGCAGGUUCCUGACACAACCAGCAGAUCCCAAACUUUCCAGGCCAGCAAAGAGCCAGAGGGGCUGCCAAGGCCCGGGUGAAUGCCUUUGGGGAGUGGCGAGGGGACACGUGCAGUCCUGUCAGUUCUCAGGGACGAGACUCUGCCUGGCUUCUGAGUUCCCAAAGCAGACCCUGGCCUGGAAGAGUGACAGACCUGGAGCGGCCCAGAGGGAGCCCACCGAGAGCCCACCGAGAGCCCUGUCUAGAAAGACCCAGAAGAAGAGCCCAGCGGGGGAUGAGGACAGUGUUGGAGAAGUCACAGUCCUGAAAGAGACAACGUGA